rnacentral:lncRNA from 1 species
UUUUUAUUAUAGUUGAUGUACUUGUUGUCAAUUUCUACUGUACAGUACACUUAUUUAUAUGCAUUCCUUUUCUCACAUUAUCCUCCAUCAUGUUCCAUCACAAGUGACUAGAUACAGUUUCCUGUGGUAUACAGCAGGAUCUCAAUGCCAUUAUCCCCAUUCUACAGUUGUGGUCUCUGAGGCACAGAGAGGUUAAGGAACUUGCAAAGACCACACAGUAAAUGGCAGAGGCCAGAUUCAAACCUGGGCACUCUCAGCUUCUAGUGCCUGCUCUUACACAUUACCUGUUGCUAACUCUCUUAACCAUGGUGCACUUACUGACACAAAUCUUUAUGCUCCAUUGAAAUGUCCUCAGUGUCACUUUUGCCCCAUGUUCUUCGUUUUGCCUUCCAGAAUACAAAACUAGUCUCAUCCGAACUUUCUCCUGGAUAAAACUAGAAACAUUCGGAACGGAGAUCCUGUUUUCAUGUGGUCUCCCAUCUCUAACAAUGCCUUGACCUCAAAACCCUUCACUGUAUCAUCCAGGCCCCAUGGAAACGCUCCAGCCCUGAGGCCACUUUCUCAGAGCUGAGUUCCCUCAGGCGUGGCUGGGCCCCUGCACAGCUCAAUAUGAAGGUGACUUCCCAGGUGCCGGUGCAAGACUUGGGUUAGUGAUGCUUCAGGUUGCCUUGCCUUUUUUAGCAGCUGGGUCCCAAGAAGAAUCUCAGCAAAGAAGACACGCUCCCAGAGUUCCCACUGCGGCUCAGUGGGUUAAGAACCCAACAUCGUCUCUGUGAAGAUGCGGGUCUGGUCCCUGGCCUCAGUGGGUUAAGGAUCCAGUGUUGCCACAAGCCAUGAUGUAGGUGGUCACAGAUGCGGCUCAGAUCCGUCAUUGCAGUGGCUGUGGUGUCCAUAUGCCGCAGGCGCGAGUGCAAAAAGGAAAAAAAAAAGACAAGCUCUCAUCCUGUUCCAUGCCGCUGUUUUUAUACACCUGUCCCUCUUCUGUACCAGGCAGAUGGCAUGGAGGAGCAGGGGCCCCUGCAAACACAUUGCACUGGCUACAGACGGGCCAACACCCUCCUUUCUGCUGGUAUUAUCUUCCCACUGAUACUGUGCAUUUAUUUAAGGUUUAAAAACAGAGAAAUUUCCCUGGACAUUUAUUUAGCAAGCAUUCGUGGAGCCCCUCUCUCCGUCAGCACCCAUGCUGGGAGCUCAGAACAUAACAGUUGCUGCUCUCCACAAGCUCAGGCCUUGUAAGAAAGAUGGGCGCAACCAAAUAAGCUUCGUGCAGAUCCUCCGCCCCCUCCCCUCAUCUCCAGACACUUUUAGAGCAUUUUCAACUCAAUCCUUACACCUCGUCCCUUCAGAAUAUACACCCCCCUCCAGAGACCCCCCAAGGGCUGGAACUACCACCUCCACGCACAGGCCACACCUCCUAGGUACCUCCAGCCCAGAGUCUGCCCUGACUCUACACCCCUGUGUCCAACUGCCCACACACUGUCUCACCUUGGUUGUCAAAAGGCCUCUUAACCUCAACCUGACAAAAACCAAAUUCCUGAUCCCCACUGUUAUGAGUUGAAUUAUAUCCCCCCAAACUGGUAGGUUCAGGUCCUAGCCCCCAAUACCUGCACAUGUGAGCUUAUUUGGAAAUAAGAUCUUUGCAGGUGUGAAAGGGUUAAGAUGAGGUCACACUGGAUUAGAGUGGCCUUAAUCCAAUGACUGGUAUCCUUAUCAGAAGAAGGAAACUGGACACAGACACACAGGAAGCAUGACAUGCGACUACAGAGGCCAAAAUUGGAGAGAUGUGUCUAUAAGUCAAGAAAUACCAAGAAUUGGAACCACUAGAAGCAGAAGAGGCAAGGGAGGACGUUAAGCCUUCAGACCUAAGAGACAGAGACUUCUGUUGUUUGAAGCUAUCCAAGUUUGUGGCAGUUUUUUACAGUAGUCCUAGGAAAUUAAUACACCCCAAAACCUACACCUUCCAUCUCAGUAGAAGGGAAAUCCAUUCCUGCCAUUGAUCAGGCUAAUUCUCCACUUCUCUCACUCUCACGGCUCACAUUCAAUCCGUCAGGAAUGUCAAUGGUCAAAUACACCCCAAGUCUGGCAACGCCUCACCCCUGCAUAGCUGCCACUCAUUCAGGCCACCGUCAACCCUUCCCUGGACUGGAGCAAAAACCUCCUAGCCGGCCUCCCCGCUGCCACCCUCAGCCAGCUACAGUCCGCCCUCCACACAGCUGCUCAAAUGCACUUGUUUUUCUUUUUCUUUUUUCUUUUUAGGGCCACACCCGCAGCAUAUGGAAGUUUCUAGGCUAGGGGUUGAAUCGGAGCUACAGCUGCCGGCCUGCACCACAGCCACAGCAACGCAGGAUCCUUAGUCCACUGAGCGGGGCCAGGGAUCAAAUCCCCAUCCUCAGGGAUGACAGUAGGGUUCUUAACCCACUGAGCCACAACGGGAACUCCCCAGAAUGCUUUUUUAUAAAACCAUAGAUCAGGUGAAUUCACGCUUUGCUCCACUCUCCUAUGACAACAGAAUAAAACCCAAGCUCCAUUCUACAGCUCACAUGCCCUUGGUCCCAUCUCCCCUCCUGGAACUCAUCCCUGCCCCUCUCCAUCCCUCGCUCUGCUCCAGCCACGCUGACACCCCAUCUGAUCAGAGGCCAUCGAUAUGGCAUCCCCGCUCCCUCCCUGUCCCUGCUUGUUUUUCUCCAAGCACUUACCCCAUCACUACCCCUGGCUCUUACGUAUGUGCCUGUGUAUUGUCUAUCUCCCUCCCUAGAACAGGGGCGUGAUGUUUCAGCACAACUGUUUUCCAGGCACUAGAAGAGUCCCCGGUGCAUCAAAGACUUUCAGUACAUCUGCUGAAGCAGGCAGUGCUGAAGAGAGAGCACAUACCCAGCAGCUGUGGUAUCAAUGGGCCAGAACCUAAUUCCACCGUCACCCUCAGUUUUCCUUUUCACCUCUAAAAGGGGAAUAAUAACAACAUCUAUGCCCCCAGAAUAACGUGAUGCUUACACAGAGCAUAAGCCACAGCAUGGUUUUAAUCAGCUACAUUGCACAGCUGGAAUAGGGAGCUAGAUAUAGAUACGAUACAGAUAUAGAUACAGAUCUUAUCUACAGCUUACAUACAGAUAAGGAGUGUCCAGUGGGCAGUGUCAAGUGCAGCAUAAACAUUGAAGAGAAUGGGAGGACUUCAGGAAGGAAGUGGCUCUCGAACUAGCUCACCAUGAGGGAGAAAAACAGGAAUGGCAGGUGGAUGCGAGCGAGCGAUGAGGCGGGGACUGGCACGAGGUGUGCAGGCAACCACCCGCUCGCCGUUAGCGUGGCUGGAACACAGGUGAACUGUGACAGCGGGGGAGGGGAGGGAAGAGAAGGAGGUAG